GCUGACGAGCGGCGGACGGGUGAGUAAUGCUUAGGAAUCUGCCCAGUAGUGGGGGAUAGCCCGGGGAAACCCGGAUUAAUACCGCAUACGUCCUACGGGAGAAAGCAGGGGAUCUUCGGACCUUGCGCUAUUGGAUGAGCCUAAGUCGGAUUAGCUAGUUGGUGGGGUAAAGGCCUACCAAGGCGACGAUCCGUAGCUGGUCUGAGAGGAUGAUCAGCCGCAUCGGGACUGAGACACGGCCCGAACUCCUACGGGAGGCAGCAGUGGGGAAUAUUGGACAAUGGGGGCAACCCUGAUCCAGCCAUGCCGCGUGUGUGAAGAAGGCUUUCGGGUUGUAAAGCACUUUCAGCGAGGAGGAAGGCCUUAAAGUUAAUACCUUUGAGGAUUGACGUUACUCGCAGAAGAAGCACCGGCUAACUCCGUGCCAGCAGCCGCGGUAAUACGGAGGGUGCAAGCGUUAAUCGGAAUUACUGGGCGUAAAGCGCGCGUAGGUGGUUAGGUAAGCGAGAUGUGAAAG
rnacentral:rRNA from 1 species